rnacentral:rRNA from 1 species
AACAGACAAUAUAUUAAGCCCAAGACUGGUUGCUCACUGAAGCUAAGCAGGGCUGAGCUUGGUCAGUACCUGGAUGGGAGACCUCCUGAGAAAACUAGGUUGCUGCUG